GUACCAUGAUGUGGGCAUUUCCUUAGCGACUCUUUAAGUCUUUCCCAUGCAUCUUACAAUGAUUCCCUUUCUGUCUGGUAGAAAUUAUUAAUUUUCCCUCUAAACUU